rnacentral:rRNA from 1 species
AUUGAACGCUGGCGGCGGGCCUAACACAUGCAAGUCGAAUGGUAACAGGAAACAGCUUGCUGUUUCGCUGACGAGUGGCGGACGGGUGAGUAAUGUCUGGGAAACUGCCUGAUGGAGGGGGAUAACUACUGGAAACGGUAGCUAAUACCGCAUAACGUCGCAAGCCCAAAGAGGGGGACCUUCGGGCCUCUUGCCAUCAGAUGUGCCCAGAUGGGAUUAGCUAGUAGGUGGGGUAACGGCUCACCUAGGCGACGAUCCCUAGCUGGUCUGAGAGGAUGACCAGCCACACUGGAACUGAGACACGGUCCAGACUCCUACGGGAGGCAGCAGUGGGGAAUAUUGCACAAUGGGCGCAAGCCUGAUGCAGCCAUGCCGCGUGUAUGAAGAAGGCCUUCGGGUUGUAAAGUACUUUCAGCGGGGAGGAAGGGAGUAAAGUUAAUACCUUCGCUCAUUGACGUUACCCGCAGAAGAAGCACCGGCUAACUCCGUG